UGGGGAAUAUUGCACAAUGGGCGAAAGCCUGAUGCAGCGACGCCGCGUGAGGGAUGACGGCCUUCGGGUUGUAAACCUCUUUCAGCAGGGACGAAGCGCAAGUGACGGUGCCUGCAGAAGAAGCACCGGCUAACUACGUGC
rnacentral:rRNA from 1 species